GCACUGCUGACGAGUCAAAAACAAGACGAAACAGCUGUCCCGGUGC
rnacentral:hammerhead_ribozyme from 1 species